GCCAACACAAAUCUGUGUCUGGCUUACUGGACACGGCGCGGACAUUUCCAUAAUCUCUGCCAAAGAUUGGCCCAGCACCUGGGGUACAACAAGGCCAGCUGUCAACAUCCAAGGAGUAGGAGGAUCCAAAACUCCUCUCCAGAGCAUUUUGCCACUUCUGGUCCAAGGCCCACAGGCCCUUUGAAGAAAGCUGUGACAGCCUUCACAGACGGCUCAGGGAGGUCCAGUAAUGCAGUGGUAGCCUGGUUUGAAAAAGGAGAAUGGAAAACAGAUGUUCAUCAAGUUGAAGGUUCAUCUCAGAUUGCUGAACUCUCAGCCGUGGUAAGAGCGUUCCAACUUUUUCCACAGACUCUGAAUUUGGUAUCAGAUUCUGCCUAUGUUGUAGGAGUUGUAAGUUGCAUAGAAAAUAGUUAUGUAAAAGAUCUGAACAAUCAAAAGUUGUUUACCCUGUUUAAAACAUUGUUACUAUUAAUCCAACAGAGGAAACAUCCUUUCUAUAUCACUCACAUUCGAUCACAUACAUGCCUCCCAGGCCCACUUACAGAAGGGAAGGCUGUGGCAGAUAAAGCAGCAAAUUCAGCUUUCCCAGUUAACACAGUACCUACACCUAACAGUUUUGAAAAAGCAAAAAUUUCUCAUAACUUUUUCCACCAAAAUUCUACAUCAUUGAAAAAAAUGUUUCAGUUAUCUACCUCUCAAGCCAAAGCCAUUGUGUCUGCGUGUCCAGACUGUCAGUUGGUAACUCCAGUGAGAUCUGAAGGAGUUAAUCCAAGAGGCCUUAGCCCCUUAGAUCUCUGGCAAUCAGAUGUGACACAUGUGCCACGAUUUGGCAGAUUGAAAUAUGUACAUGUAUCAGUGGACACUUGCUCAGGACUCAUUGUUGCCACUGCACAUACAGGAGAAAAAGCUAAAGAUGUUAAAAGACAUUUUUUCUCAGCAUUUGCCAUAAUGGGCAUUCCAAAACAAAUUAAAACAGAUAAUGCCCCGGCAUACAUUUCUGCUUCCCUUAAAGAAUUUUUCAAUAUGUGGGGAAUAGUUCACACCACUGGCAUUCCUCACUCUCCACAGGGCCAAGCGAUAGUAGAGAGAACUCACAAAUCCUUAAAAGAUAUGCUGAAAAAACAAGAAAAAACAACUGUAGGUCUCUCUCCAUCAGAACGUUUAAACAAGGCAUUGUAUGUCCUCAAUUUUUUAAAUAGGCUGCAUGAGGAUGUUUCACCUGUUGGACAUCAUUUUGGAGCUGGAAAAUUAAAAACGAGGGAAGCUGAGGUAAAAUACAAGGAUAUCCUGACAGGAGAAUGGCUCGGUCCUGUCCCUCUAAUUGUCUGGGGAAGAGGACAUGCUUGUGUCUCCACAGGAGCAGGUCCAAGAUGGAUACCGUCCAGACUAGUGAGGAUCCACCAAGAAGUUUCCCUCCCAGCUCAACCAGCAGCAGAUCCAGCACCAGCGGAUUCAGCACCAGCUACAGGAAGCGAUCCCCCAUCAGCAUCACUUUCGGGAUAAUCCUGGUUUUUGUGUGCAGCAUAACACCAGCAAAUCAGAAAGACUUAACGUCAGGAGCCCUUGCCACACCUCCUCCAACAAUUCCAAAUUGGGUAAUGCUCCCUGGUCAAAAUGUUUGGCUAAACCUGGCACAAUCACUAAAUACUGACUCUGUCUGUCUCUCUACCUUAGAUCCCUCUCACCCUUUUAAGACCUGUCUGGUAGGAAUCCCAUGGACACCCAGAGAAUGGGGUGAUUUUAGAAAUCAAUAUAUCCCCUGGUGUGAUGACCAUGAUCAGUUUAAAAAUCCGUUCUUAGAUUGUCUCACAAGACCAGCAAAAACUUCACAUGACAGACAGACAUUUAGCUAUCAGUGGCAGAGACCUGAGGAAUUAGAAAUCUUGGGGAGUAUCAUAUCUCCUCUCUGGUUUUGCUUCAUUCACAACAAAUAUGUUGCCCCUCCUGAAUUAAUUAAUGUCACCUCUUAUGGACCUUAUUCCAAUUUCAGUUUCUGGUGCAAGGAAGAGGUUCCUUACCAGAUACAUGCUACCCCUGAUUCAGUUAUUCUUCCAAAAGGAGUCUUUUUAAUUUGUGGACUUAGAGUCUGGAAUAUGAUUCCCAGAUUAGCUGCUGGAGGCCCCUGCACAUUUGGAAAAUUAACACUGCUAUCCAGCUACCCUUAUGAAAUCUUUACCUGUAAGUCCUCCCAAAAGUCAUGCAAAAAGAAACCUUAACCUCCAAACAACCUCACCCUUCCCACGUCAUAGAGUGCGCAGGCAAUUCCAAGGUUUACACCCACCUCUUAACUUCUAUCCAUCACAACCAAAACCACCUUCUCCACCUAAGGCAGUGCAGGUCCCUGUGGCUGCAGCACCCCCACCUCCAGCUGAAGAACAUCCCUUAGCAAAAUUGCAGUCCUUGAGUGAAUUCACGGCAGAAUGCAAUUCCAACAUGCUUUUUUGGUCCGACACCGCAAACAUUCUAAGUGGUCUGCUUCCAGUUUUCAGCUCCACAAAAGCCUUAAUGCUCCUUACCAGAAUGGGAUGUUGGCUUGCAAAAGAAGCUGAUGCCACCAGUGCUGCCCUUGAUGAUCUAUUACAAGAUACCCAAACCAAUAAGAAGGCCUUGUUACAAAAUCGUGCUGCAAUAGAUUUUCUCCUUCUAGUAAAUGGCCAUGGGUAUCAGGAGUUUGAAGGCCUCUGCUGCCUCAACUUCUCUGAUCACUCCCAAUCUAUCCACUCCCAGAUUAAUCAGCUUAAGUCCUUAGUUCAUGAAAUCAAGUAAGUUGAUCCUCUGACCUUUGAUGACUUUUUCAACUGGCUGCCCUUCAAAGGCCUCUCUUCCACUAUUAAGAAAAUUAUUGUAGUUAUCGUACUAGGACUUUCCGUAGUGUUUCUCUUUACGUGUGUCUUUCCAUGCUUGCUCAGUUGUGCCAGAACCUCUCAAUCAUUAAAAGCAUAUCCAGCUUUAGGAAACAGAAAAGGAGGAGCUGUGGCAAUGGAUUUGCCAUAUGCAGGAUGGAAGAAGUCCUGCCAGAGAUGGAAUAGUGAAGAAAAAGAAGAAAACAGUUCAAAUGUUAUAGAAACAGAAGUUUUUAAUGUGGUUUAAACAUGUUUCAAAAUGGCUUUUUGUAUUUUCUGCAAGGUUACUGUUUCUUCUUCCCGACACCCCCUGGGAGGGACUUGUCUCCCAUACAGGAGUAUCCUGGGAAAGUGUCCUGAGGUGUUUCUCAUUGGUCCUUGUUAACCCCUUCCUGUUGGCUGUUGACCCCUUACCUGAUUGGUUUUUUCUGUGCCCCUGAACUGGUGAUUGGCCCCCUUUUGACCCUCCUAAAAGCCUUACAAACCCCUACCCCACAAAUAAACUCUCUCUUUCGUCCGUC